GAACAACACAGAAGGAACCACCAUCGUGAGUGCCUAGACAAGAACAGAGCAUACACACUACAAACAGAAAACCCUUAGCGACUGUUGGUGGCAUAAGUGAACGACAAAAGGGAAAUUCAAGAAGGAACAACACAGUCCUACAUGGCCCCUCCCCCAACCGUGCCUUCCUGUCUCGUCUGCUUUCUCUUCCUCUCAAGUUAGCAUCUACUGCCAUAAGGUAGUGUGUUCAAAGACUGGCUACUCUAGGCGUGUGCAGCUCAUGUGCGUGAAUGCAUGCAAUGCAGAGCACCUUAAUCUGGCUGCUCGUUAUUGGGAGCCCUUAAUGUGUAUGUAGUAGCAUUAUCACAUUAAGUAACAUUAAAUAUUCUAAUUCA
rnacentral:lncRNA from 1 species